ACUCCGACAGCGACAGGAACGACUCCGAUGAAGACGACGACGAUGACGAAGAACCUCUGCCGGGCAAGCAGCACAAGUACCGCAACAUCAGCCAGCUGGAGUGGGACAACAGCACGAUGUAAUACCCCUCCACCGCCCCCGCCGCCAGCGGCACGUACUUACCCCGCCCCGUCUUCACUAAUUACUUCCUUAUCGUCUCCGCCAUACGGUCCAUUUUGCUAUUUAACUAAGUAACAUUAUAUUCGUUGAUACAAGGCGGCCGUGUGACGUCACUCUCGAAUGUUCUCCCGCAAACAGAUAAUGGAAUUGAUUUCGUAGUCUCUCCGCGUGUGCUCCCCGCGGUGAUGUAAAAUGCACUCUAUUGCAUCGCGAUAGAGUCUAACUAGCGUACUCAAGCUUCAGCACUGUCUCGCGGCACAAGACUUUCUAAUAUAAGAUUUGUUAGUCUUUAAAACUAAGGUCUCAAAAUUGAUCAUAUCAACUUUAUACGUAAUGAAUAAUUUCUCCCUCGCUCGCUUCUUUAGCUGAGGCUCGUCCGUCUGUUUGUAGUACUUUCGACACUUUUCUAUCGUUUUUUUUUCUAUUGUAAGUGAAGCGAUGUAUGUAAUAAUAAAAUCAGUAGUCGUUGUAAUUUCGUAUGAGGUCGGAUAUGUAAGGUUUAGUGUUAAGAGGUCAAUCGCUGCUUGUAUAUUACUACACUAAGUGACGCUUGCGCCGGCGCCGGCGCGCCCCCGCCCCCAGCCCCGCCCCCGCCACGCCCCCAGUUCGCAUUUACGAUAAGUACAAGGCGACUAAAGUAGAUUGUUUCGUGUCCUGUACGAUGACGUCACUGCGUCGCCGGCGCGCACACACUUCUAACCCUCUAUGAGCUUUUAAACAAAAAAUCGGCUUAAAUGUAUUUUAGGCACAGAGUUAUUUGAAAACUUACAUAGAUGUAUAUUAUACAAGUACUAUAUUAACGGUGUCGUUUUAGGAUCAGCUAUAGAUACUAUAUUAUAAUUAUAUAUAUAUUUUGAAUGCGUUAAGAAAAUUUUUACUAACGUUUAGAUGUAAGCUACGUUAGUUUCUGUGACGCACACGCGCACAACGGCGCGGCGCCACUGCCCGCCCUUAGUUAAGUUGUACUGUUCCCUCAGUCGGGUGUUUCAUUGGCCAGAGGGCAGCGGUCGCCGCACGGGAGAGGGCAUUACCACCUUUCCUCUUAUACGGACGUCAUCGUUACUCAGCCCUCGUGUAGACGGCCGCGCUCUCCGUCUUGCAUAUCAUGGACCUAUUGCCAUAUUAGAGUAGAGUAUUGUAAGCCGCUCCACUUCACACUAUCUAAGCGAUCCUUGUCGAUCACGGUGUUUUACGAGCUGUUUGUCGCUGGCCGGCGCUUCGCUCAAACAUCGACAAUUCGUAACGUGGAGCGCGACUGGAUGACGGUGUACUUGUCACGUUGACAGCUGUCAAAAUCAACCACCAGUGAAGAUGCGAGAUAAAACGCGCGAAAAAAAUCGAGCGACCGCCGCCGGCAGCCGCGCGUCGCCUCCACGAUGUCGCAGUUUAUUUGUUUUUAAUUAAAUUGUUACGUUAAACAUUCGACAACCGUCCAAUGAUAAUUUCCCCGUUGCUUAAUAUGUCGGUGAGAUCUGCCCCCGCCCCGCAGCUCCGCCCCCAGUCGGCCCCAGCCCCGGCCCCCGCCCCGGGCGAGGCGGGCCUCUAACUUGUUAAUCGUUGUGGGAAAACCUUUAUUUUAACUUUGUAUUGAUUUUUCCAUUAUUUUUUUUUAUUGUAUUAUUGCGGUAUUACCUUAUAAUUAGGGAUCUUCUUUGAUGUAUGAAUUAUUAUAUUUUAGCUAAAAAUAAAGUUGGUUUAAAAUA